GGUGGCGCGUAGCUCAGCAGGGGUAGAGCGUCAGCUGAAAUAGCGCUGGAGGUCCUUCGUUCGAUUCGAGGCCGUCACCC
rnacentral:tRNA from 1 species